UCAAAAUUUAUUUAUUUUUUGGUUAAAAAUGGGUGUGACAUUGCCAAAUUUUCUCAAUUCUCCUUUGUAAUUUAUUUGGCAAAAUAACUUGUGCAACGAAUACAAAGUAGAAAUCUAAUAGUAGUAUAUUCGAAGAACAGUAGAGGCAAGAUUAGGGGGUGCAUGGCACGGUAAAACCCUUUCUUCGCCGGCCACUUUUCGCCGAUAUAAUCUAUACUUGGGCGACAUUGAAAUCGAGAUCCAAUUCCUUUUCAG
rnacentral:lncRNA from 1 species